rfam:Hordeum vulgare subsp. vulgare, WGS project CAJW01000000 data, contig: morex_contig_267050
UGAAUACUCCCUCCGUCUCAAAAAUUUUGUCUUAGAUUUCUCUAUAUAUGAAUGUAUCUAGUCACGUUUUAGUUCUUUGAUACAUCCAUUUUUAGACAAACGUAAGGCAAGAAUUUUGAAACGAGGUGAGUACUUG